AUACUUAGCAGGCAGAGAAGACCGUGGUCACAAAGAUCGUUUUCCCAGGGUGAGGCUUAUCCAUUGUACUCUUUUUGCUGACCACUGCAAUUUCCCGAAAUAUGGGAAACUUAACUGCAUAAUUUGCGGUAGUGGGAGACUGUGUUCAUGCUCUCCCC